AUGACACCUACGAUAUUAACUAUAACAAACAACUCGACAAACUUCUCAAUUCACCAAAGGACUUGUCAUUUUCUCUACUACUACUACUAUUCCCACCCACAACUAAAAAUAUUUCAUUAUCCCCAAUGUUCAAGAUAAGCAUAUAAUAAGUGGGUUGAAACAAACUCCAUGGUUCAUAAAGCACACCAGGUUUAAACAGAGUGUCUUUUAUGUUCUAAUAACCUGCAUUUGUAUGUUGGUAUUUUAAGCAUGCAAGGAUCUUUUAACAAUUUUGUUACAUCAUGUGUGAUGGUGUUUGUAACAUUCAAAAUAACUCUCUGAUUAAGGAGGUGGCUACGAUUGUAUGUAAAAUAAUUACCCAACAAGAGUCAAGGUCGAAUCCCACAAAAAUUGAAGGAGAAGUGCAUUCAUGCUUGCAGGUUAUCAGGUAGAUAAAAAUUAUCGUGUGUGUGAUCGAGUUCAGCAAAUGGUUGGUACACUCCAUUCUUUUAUGAGUUGUUAAGUGUUGAGUCUUCUUUUGUUUUAUGCAGCUGAUGGGUAUGUCAGGGCCCUGUCCCAACCAAGUGUUAGUAGUUUUUUAUCUUAUAAGCUUGUAAACAUUUGUUUUAGGUCUUGUAAGAUGGUGUGGCUAUGUUCGCCUAGUCGUUAGAUGUGGCUUUCAGACAGUGGCCUAGAUGAGCUUGUAUUUCAUUUGUUGGUUCGCUCGGUCAAAUAAGGCAUUGAAUGUCAGUUGUCCUCCACAGGUUUGUGGAGUGACAAGACUCUACUUCAAGUAUAUUUGAGCGAUUAAGAUAUGUAAGUCUAUCUUUAAGUGUGGAAACAUCAUUGUUCUCUCACAUAUGUUUCCAUGUCUACAGCUUCUCUCCAUUCAUAAGUUAGAGUUAUGUUGAAGAUCUUAUGAAUUGUCAUGAUGUUUCCACACAAACUUCAUGAGUUCUCGAUGAUGUUGUUAAUCCCCAUGAUGUUCUUGUUCUCAAUAGUAUCCAUUUUCAACAAGAAAUCUUAGCAAGCAUGAAUCAUGAUCUUCUUCAAAAUCAAGUUUUUGAUGAAGCUUUGCCAAAAUUAUAAAUAUUAUUAUUUUUCUUAAAGGUUGGGCUUUACUAUUUAUGAUACAUUUUUAUGAUAAACAAGUAUGAACUUUAUGAUAUUACAACCUGAUUUUUGAGCGUCCGAGCAACCUAUGAUUUAUGAUCUUUCGAGUUGACUAUGACUUACGAGCAUUCUAACUAAUGAUGAUUUUGAGAACACGCUAUAUUUUAUGAGGAUUAUUAUUAAUCGAGAAGGUAUGAUUUCAGAUAAUAAAUAUCUGAAACUAUAUAUGCCAAAGUACAGUUAGGUUAGACAACCCUUCGAUGUACACACAAUGAAGGAGAUAUUAUGGAUCCACGUCAUGUUACGCCCAAGCAAUAUAUAUGACGGCUUGAAAGUCGAAUGAGAUGGGACAUCAUGAGCUCAAAUAGUGUUAUGUUGGUUAUUUGAGAAACUCCCCAACAAAAGUUAAUGAUUUAUGAAAGAUGAUUUUUGGCUGAAGCUAGCCUUAUGGUUUUAAAGCUUAUGCUUUUACUUUAUGUUUUACUCAUGGUCCUCAAUUAUGUAGUUUACUUCAUGUUUCUUUCAGCCAUUUUAUGUACUGAACAAUUCUAUUUGAACUUAAGUUCCCUUUUUCGAA